CGGUGCCAGAUUUCUGCAGCAUAACAUCCGACUACUGCCAUGGCCUGCUGUCAGUCCCGAUUUAAACCCGAUCGAACAGUUUUGGGACGAGCUGCAGAGACGACUGAAUGAAGUCCGACCACG